rnacentral:rRNA from 1 species
AUUGAACGCUGGCGGCAUGCCUUACACAUGCAAGUCGAACGGUAACGGGCCUUCGGGUGCCGACGAGUGGCGAACGGGUGAGUAAUGUAUCGGAACGUACCUUUCAGUGGGGGAUAACGUAGCGAAAGUUACGCUAAUACCGCAUAUUCUGUGAGCAGGAAAGCAGGGGAUCGCAAGACCUUGCGCUGAUUGAGCGGCCGAUAUCAGAUUAGCUAGUUGGUGAGGUAAAGGCUCACCAAGGCGACGAUCUGUAGCGGGUCUGAGAGGAUGAUCCGCCACACUGGAACUGAGACACGGUCCAGACUCCUACGGGAGGCAGCAGUGGGGAAUUUUGGACAAUGGGGGCAACCCUGACGCAGCAACGCCGCGUGAGUGAGGAAGGUUUUCGGAUCGUAAACCUCUGUUGUACGGGAAGAAGGAUGUGACGGUACCGUACGAGGAAGCCCCGGCAAACUACGUGCCAGCAGCCGCGGGUAAAACGUCUACUG